UCCAGUCAGGUCAUCAGUUGUAAAAGUAAACAUGCCCGAAGAAGACAGGUGCUCUGGCCGGUCAACUUUACCUCAGUGGUUCGUGUUACAGGCAGACCGCUGUGCACACACUCUGUAUCCAGGUGUGUGUCUGUGACACCUCCAUGGACCUACCAGUCUCCAGUUACCAGGGACCACUUUCUCAAGACACAGCAGUGCAGUCUUGCUGUUGCAUGAUUCCUCAAUGGAGAACAAGUAUGGUGUUCAAUGACCCCGGCCGACAGCAGGUGAGUGCAGAACUGAGUGACGACGACCCGCAGGUCGUGUUUGGUGAGGACCAGGUGCAGGUAGUGAGACUC